AUUGAACGCUGGCGGCAUGCCUUACACAUGCAAGUCGAACGGCAGCACGGGAGCAAUCCUGGUGGCGAGUGGCGAACGGGUGAGUAAAGUAUCGGAACGUGCCCAGUCGUGGGGGAUAACGUAGCGAAAGCUACGCUAAUACCGCAUACGAUCUAUGGAUGAAAGCGGGGGAUCGCAAGACCUCGCGCGAUUGGAGCGGCCGAUAUCAGAUUAGGUAGUUGGUGGGGUAAAGGCCCACCAAGCCGACGAUCUGUAGCUGGUCUGAGAGGACGACCAGCCACACUGGGACUGAGACACGGCCCAGACUCCUACGGGAGGCAGCAGUGGGGAAUUUUGGACAAUGGGCGCAAGCCUGAUCCAGCAAUGCCGCGUGCAGGAUGAAGGCCUUCGGGUUGUAAACUGCUUUUGUACUGAGCGAAAAGGCUCUCUCUAAUACAGGGGGCUCAUGACGGUACCGUAAGAAUAAGCCCCGGCUAACUACGUGCCAGCCGCCGCAGUAAUAC
rnacentral:rRNA from 1 species